UCAUAUUUGCUAUUAUUCCUAGUAUUUUAUUGCUCUUAAUAAAACACAAGGAACAUGAACAACUAAGAUUCAAGUAAUGCCAAAUAAAAUACCAACAGAUAGGUUACAUAUUCAGAAUGUUUUUGGCACCAAUUCGAUAUUUUUCUGAUUUGAAAUGAAUUAGUUAUGAAUUUUUUAAUUAAAUGUAAUUUUUUAAAUUUUUAGAAAAUUCAAAACCACUCUUAAAACCACCCAAAGGACCAAAUUUGCCCGGUUUUGACCGUUGGAUGGCCCUCCUUGUCCCGUUUUGUUGUUGUGAGUUGAAAAUCGAACUUUUGCUAUAGUUGAAGGGUGAAAAAUUGGACUUUUCCCUUUUAGCUUUAUAUCAA
rnacentral:lncRNA from 1 species